UCCCUUCUGCAGCACAUAUACUAAAAUUGGAACGAAACAGAGAAGAUUAGCAUGGCCCCUGCACAAGGAUGACAGGCAAAUUCAUGAAGUGUUCCAUAUUUUU
rnacentral:snRNA from 1 species